rnacentral:lncRNA from 1 species
AAGACUCGCCUUGGUCUUGUUCAACUCCUCCGCCCAUUCCCGAGCCCAACCAGCCCCGGAUCCGCCCACCUUCGCCUCCAACCAGCAGCGAUCAGAGGACUGCAGAAAUGGGUUUGCAGCAACUGUUUGGCCCGUUUUGGCCUCCUUCCCGAGCCCGGAUGCUCGGCCCGCUUUGAGGAAAGUCGAUCCUCGCGUCGAGCCCGUCGUUU